CUCAGUCUCUCUCUCUCUCUCUCACUCUCAGUCCUCUUCAGCUCCGUCCUUCUCCGUCGCCGUUCCGUCGCACUCAUCCCUCUCUUCAGCUCCGUCGCCGUUCCAUCGCGUUCAUUCCCUCUCUUGAGCUCCGUCGCCGUCGGCCCUCCAUCUCGCUCCGGAGCACUUCCCGUCGCCGUCUGGUUUUCACAAACAAUUUCCAUUUAGGAAUAGGCUUGAAAAGGCUUCACAACAUAAGCUUUUAGAGAAGGUAGUUGCAUAGUGAUAUUGCAGUAUGGCUGCUGUUCCUGCUCAGCUCCCUGAUGAGUUUGGUCCUGGGCCCACUGACGAUUCGGUGUUAAGGUUUAUAAAAACACAUCGAGCGUGCGCUGUUUGGGAAGGCAAGGAUCCAGGGCCACUGAAAUGCCGCGGUCGUAAUGACGAGUUCCGAAAACGACGCCGGAUAGUGGUGGAUGAUCGUAUCGUCGACAUUGUGAAGAGAGUUGGAUUAGAGGGGCUGUAUAGGACCCCAAGUAGAGAGAUUGAUCAUAACCUGAUCACGGCCUUCGUUGAGCGAUGGCGGCCUGAAACCCACACCUUCCACCUGCCACAUGGUGAGACAACGAUCACAUUAC